AAACCGUUCAGGGGUAAACCUGAGAAACCCAAAAGAUCGAAUGGGGAGAUUCAUCGUCAGCUCAUUUUGUAUAUAUAUGAGUUAUGAUAUGGGUUACUACUUGUAGUAUUGCCUGUACAUUCUUGUAUAUUUUAUUGCAAGAUGUUGUCGGCGUGCACUUCUCCCCUAGUAGGACGUCGCGACCCGUUGAGUGUCGGUCUACGGCCCAAGUGGUAGCCUUUGAUUCUUGUAAUUAAAGACCCUUGGUGUUUCCUGGCUGACUGCUCGGCGGUAUUCGUACGGUAUUAAGCCGCUUUUAAGCGUUCAUAUCCGUCGCAAGCGCGGUCAAUUUUUGGUAGUACGGACCUAGUGCCGUCGCUAUAAUUGAUCAGCUGUUGGUUGUACGGUGUUCUAGAACUGGCUUAACAUAUACCGGUCUGCGAUGCUACUGCUUUGGGUACUUUCAGGA
rnacentral:rRNA from 1 species